GAUGAACGCUGGCGGCGUGCCUAAUACAUGCAAGUCGAGCGAACGGACGAGAAGCUUGCUUCUCUGAUGUUAGCGGCGGACGGGUGAGUAACACGUGGAUAACCGACAUAUAAGGCUGGGAUAACUUCGGGAAACCGGAGCUAAUACCGGAUAAUAUGUUGAAACGCAGGGUUCAAAAGUGAAAGACGGUCUUGAUGUCCCUUAUAGAUGGAUCCGCGCUGCAUUAGCUAGUUGGUAAGGUAACGGCUUACCAAGGCAACGAUGCAUAGCCGACCUGAGAGGGUGAUCAGUCACACUGGAACUGAGACACGGUCCAGACUCCUACGGGAGGCAGCAGUAGGGAAUCUUCCGCAAUGGGCGAAAGCCUGACGGAGCAACGCCGCGUGAGUGAUGAAGGUCUUCGGAUCGUAAAACUCUGUUAUUUGGGAAGAACAUAUGUGUAAGUAUCUGUGCACAUCUUGACGGUACCUACACAGAAAGCCACGGCUAACUACGUG
rnacentral:rRNA from 1 species